AGUGAACGCUGGCGGCAUGCUUUACACAUGCAAGUCGAACGGCAGCGCGGGCUUCGGCCUGGCGGCGAGUGGCGAACGGGUGAGUAAUAUAUCGGAACGUACCCAAGAGUGGGGGAUCACGUAGCGAAAGUUACGCUAAUACCGCAUACGAUCUAAGGAUGAAAGCAGGGGAUCGCAAGACCUUGUGCUCCUGGAGCGGCCGAUAUCUGAUUAGCUAGUUGGUGAGGUAAAGGCUCACCAAGGCAACGAUCAGUAGCUGGUCUGAGAGGACGACCAGCCACACUGGAACUGAGACACGGUCCAGACUCCUACGGGAGGCAGCAGUGGGGAAUUUUGGACAAUGGGGGCAACCCUGAUCCAGCAAUGCCGCGUGAGUGAAGAAGGCCUUCGGGUUGUAAAGCUCUUUUGUCAGGGAAGAAAAGGCUGUGGCUAAUAUCCACAGCUGCUGACGGUACCUGAAGAAUAAGCACCGGCUAACUACGUGCCAGCCGCCGCGGUAAUAC
rnacentral:rRNA from 1 species